UACGAAGGGGGCUAGCGUUGCUCGGAAUUACUGGGCGUAAAGGGCGCGUAGGCGGCCUGCUAAGUCGGAUGUGAAAUCCCCAGGCUUAACCUGGGAACUGCAUCCGAUACUGGAUGGCUUGAAUCCGGGAGAGGGAUGCAGAAUUCCAGGUGUAGCGGUGAAAUGCGUAGAUAUCUGGAGGAAUACCGGUGGCGAAGGCGGCAUCCUGGACCGGCAUUGACGCUGAGUGAGCGAAAGCCAGGGGAGCAAACGGG
rnacentral:rRNA from 1 species